CGUAGGGUGCAAGCGUUAACCGGAAUUACUGGGCGUAAAGCGUGCGCAGGCGGCUUUGCAAGACAGAUGUGAAAUCCCCGGGCUUAACCUGGGAACUGCAUUUGUGACUGCAUGGCUGGAGUGCGGCAGAGGGGGAUGGAAUUCCGCGUGUAGCAGUGAAAUGCGUAGAUAUGCGGAGGAACACCGAUGGCGAAGGCAAUCCCCUGGGCCUGCACUGACGCUCAUGCACGAAAGCGUGGGGAGCAAACAGG
rnacentral:rRNA from 1 species